rnacentral:rRNA from 1 species
UACGGAGGGGGCGAGCGUUAUUCGGAAUUAUUGGGCGUAAAGGGCGCGUAGGCGGCUCGAUAAGUCAAAGGUGAAAUCCCUCGGCUCAACUGAGGAACUGCCUUUGAAACUGUCGAGCUUGAGUCCGGGAGGGGUUAGCGGAAUUCCCAGUGUAGCGGUGAAAUGCGUAGAUAUUGGGAGGAACACCAGUGGCGAAGGCGGCUCCCUGGACCGGAACUGACGCUGAGGCGCGAAAGCGUGGGUAUCAAACAGG